rnacentral:rRNA from 1 species
AGUGAACGCUGGCGGUAGGCCUAACACAUGCAAGUCGAACGGCAGCACAGUAAGAGCUUGCUCUUACGGGUGGCGAGUGGCGGACGGGUGCGGAAUACAUCGGAAUCUACUUUUUCGUGGGGGAUAACGUAGGGAAACUUACGCUAAUACCGCAUACGACCUAAGGGUGAAAGCAGGGGAUCUUCGGACCUUGCGCGAUUGAAUGAGCCGAUGUCGGAUUAGCUAGUUGGCGGGGUAAAGGCCCACCAAGGCGACGAUCCGUAGCUGGUCUGAGAGGAUGAUCAGCCACACUGGAACUGAGACACGGUCCAGACUCCUACGGGAGGCAGCAGUGGGGAAUAUUGGACAAUGGGCGCAAGCCUGAUCCAGCCAUACCGCGUGGGUGAAGAAGGCCUUCGGGUUGUAAAGCCCUUUUGUUGGGAAAGAAGAGCAGCAGGUUAAUACCCCGCUGUUCUGACGGUACCCAAAGAAUAAGCACCGGCUAACUUCGUG